rnacentral:rRNA from 1 species
UACGUAGGGGGCAAGCGUUGUCCGGAUUUAUUGGGCGUAAAGAGCGUGUAGGCGGUCCGGUAAGUCCGCUGUGAAAGUCGAGGGCUCAACCCUCGAAUGCCGGUGGAUACUGUCGGGCUUGAGUACGGGAGAGGCGAGUGGAAUUCCUGGUGUAGCGGUGAAAUGCGCAGAUAUCAGGAGGAACACCAAUUGCGAAGGCAGCUCGCUGGGACGUUACUGACGCUGAGACGCGAAAGCGUGGGGAGCAAACAGG